rnacentral:rRNA from 1 species
AUAGUUCGACAUGAGGUAGCAGGAUCCACUCAAACACUACAAUGAAAAUGUGUUGAAUCAAGAGUAGAUAGUAAGCGCCUUUAUUAUAACUUUCAUCCUGUCCCGCUUAGAAAAGGUCAAGCGGAUACCGUCGGUAUUGUCUUGCGAAGAGCUUUACUUUGGAGAAAUAGAAGGAACAUGUAUCACACGUGCAAAAUUUGGGAGUGUGCCGCACGAAUAUUCUAUAAUAGCACUUUAUCAGGCUUUUCAUAA